rnacentral:rRNA from 1 species
UGAGGAAUAUUGGUCAAUGGGCGAGAGCCUGAACCAGCCAAGUAGCGUGCAGGAUGACGGCCCUAUGGGUUGUAAACUGCUUUUAUAUGGGAAUAAAGUGAGGGACGUGUCCCUUAUUGCAUGUACCAUAUGAAUAAGGACCGGCUAAUUCCGUGCCAGCAGCCGCGGUAAUACGGAAGGUCCAGGCGUUAUCCGGAUUUAUUGGGUUUAAAGGGAGCGUAGGCUGUUUGUUAAGCGUGUUGUGAAAUGUAAGAGCUCAACUUUUAGAUUGCAGCGCGAACUGGCAGACUUGAGUGCGCACAACGUAGGCGGAAUUCAUGGUGUAGCGGUGAAAUGCUUAGAUGUCAUGACGAACUCCGAUUGCGAAGGCAGCUUACGGGAGCGCAACUGACGCUAAAGCUCGAAGGUGCGGGUAUCGAACAGG